GACGAACGCUGGCGGCGUGCUUAACACAUGCAAGUCGAACGAAGUGGCGAACGGGUGAGUAACGCGUAAUCAACCUGCCCUUCAGAGGGGGACAACAGUUGGAAACGACUGCUAAUACCGCAUACUGAAGGAGGGGAUUGCGUCUGAUUAGCUAGUAGGUAAGGUAAUGGCUUACCUAGGCGACGAUCCCUAGCUGGGCUGAGAGGAUGAUCAGCCACACUGGGACUGAGACACGGCCCAGACUCCUACGGGAGGCAGCAGUGGGGAAUUUUGGACAAUGGGCGCAAGCCUGAUCCAGCCAUGCCGCGUGUCUGAAGAAGGCCUUCGGGUUUUAAAGGACUUUUGUCAGGGAAGCGGUACCUGAAGAAUAAGCACCGGCUAACUACGUGCCAGCAGCCGCGGUAAUAC
rnacentral:rRNA from 1 species